UGUCCGGUGGUAUAACGGUUAUUACUCCUGAUUUUGGUUCAGGUAAUGGGGGUUCGAUUCCCUCCCGGACUACCA
rnacentral:tRNA from 1 species